rnacentral:rRNA from 1 species
AGGAUAAACGCUGGCGGCGUGCCUAACACAUGCAAGUCGAACGUCUCUUUCUUCGGGAAGAGGAGUGGCGGACGGGUGAGGAACACGUGGGAACCUGCCCUUUAGUGAGGAAUACCGGCGAGAAAUCGCCGACAAGACCGCAUAGCCCUCUUUGAUGAGAGUCAAAGAAGGAAAGCUUCGCAAGAGGCGCUAGAGGAGGGGCCUGCGUCCGAUUAGCUAGUUGGUGGGGUAAGAGCCUACCAAGGCGUCGAUCGGUAGCUGGUCUGAGAGGACGAUCAGCCACACUGGGAUUGAGAACGGCCCAGACUCCUACGGGGGCAGCAGUGAGGAAUUUUCGGCAAUGGGGGAAACCCUGACCGAGCAACGCCGCGUGCAGGAAGACGGCCUUCGGGUGUAAACUGCUUUCUUGGACGAGAACGGACGGUACCAGAGGAAUCAGCCCCGGCUCACUACGUGCCAGCAGCCGC